rnacentral:rRNA from 1 species
AAGCUCGUAGUUGAAUUUCGGGGUCAGUAGGUUGGUCAUGCCACUGGUAUGUACUGGCCUCACUGAUUCCUCCUUCCUGAUGAGCCGUAAUGCCAUUAAUUUGGUGUUGCGAGGAAUCUGGACUGUUACUUUGAAAAAAUUAGAGUGUUUAAAGCAGGCUAACGCUUGAAUACAUUAGCAUGGAAUAAUGAAAUAGGACGUUCGAUCUUAUUUUGUUGGUUUCUAAGAUUGACGUAAUGAUUAAUAGGGAUAGUUGGGGGCAUUAGUAUUCAAUUGUCAGAGGUGAAAUUCUUGGAUUUAUUGAAGACUAACUACUGCGAAAGCAUUUGCCAAGGAUGUUUUCAUUAAUCAAGAGCGAUAGUUAGGGGAUCGAAGACGAUCAGAUACCGUCGUAGUCUUAACCAUAAACUAUGCCGACUAGGGAUCGGAUGAUGUUAAUUUUUUAAUGACUCAUUCGGCGCCUUACGGGAAACCAAAGUGUUUGGGUUCCGGGGGGAGUAUGGUCGCAAGGCUGAAACUUAAAGGAAUUGACGGAAGGGCACCACCAGGGGUGGAGCCUGCGGCUUAAUUUGACUCAACACGGGGAAACUCACCAGGUCCAGACAUAGUAAGGAUUGACAGAUUGAGAGCUCUUUCUUGAUUCUAUGGGUG